AAACUUUCAACAACGGAUCUCUUGGUUCUGGCAUCGAUGAAGAACGCAGCAAAUUGCGAUAAUUAAUGUGAAUUGCAGAACUCAGUGAAUCAUCGAAUCUUUGAACGCACAUUGCGCCCUCUGGUAUUCCGGGGGGCAUGCCUGUUCGAGCGUCAUUU
rnacentral:rRNA from 1 species